rnacentral:rRNA from 1 species
UACGUAGGGGGCAAGCGUUGUCCGGAUUCAUUGGGCGUAAAGAGCGUGUAGGCGGCCAGGUAGGUCGGUUGUGAAAACUGGAGGCUCAACCUUCAGAGGUCGACCGAAACCAUCUGGCUAGAGUCCGGGAGAGGAGAGUGGAAUUCCUGGUGUAGCGGUGAAAUGCGCAGAUAUCUGGAGGAACACCGGUGGCGAAGGCGGCAUCCUGGACCGGUAUUGACGCUGAGGCGCGAAAGCUAGGGUAGCAAACGGG